rnacentral:rRNA from 1 species
GGCUCUAUGUCAUUAGUAAAUAUAGAGUCGGACCUGCCCGGUGAUUAUUUUAACGGCCGCGGUACUCUGACCGUGCAAAGGUAGCAUAAUAAUUUGCCUUAUAAUUGAAGGCUGGUAUGAAUGGUUUGACAAGAAUAAAGCUGUCUCUUUAUAGUUAAUUAGAAUUUUAUUUAUAGGUGAAAAAGCCUAUAUAUAAUUGAUAGACAAGAAGACCCUAUCGAGCUUAAAAAAAAUUAUGGUGAUAAUAUACUAUAAAAAUUUUGGUUGGGGCGACUGAGGAACCAAAAAAGCUUCCUUAAUUCUUUAAACUGACAUGUAGGGAUCCAAAAUUUUUGAUUAAUGGAAUUAGUUACCGUAGGGAUAACAGCAUUAUCCCCUUUGAGAGCCCAAAUCGAAAAGGGGGUUUGUGACCUCGAUGUUGGACCAGGGUAUCCUGAAGAUGCAGCAGUCUUCAAGGGUUGGUCUGUUCGACCAUUAAAACCCUACGUGAUCUGAGUUCAGACCGGCGUGAGCCAGGUCAGUUUCUAUCUUCAAUUAAAGAAAAAAAUUUAGUACGAAAGGACCAAUUUUUUGUAAAGAUUACUGAAUGUAGAUGAAAUAUAAUAUGAAAUUAUCAAAUUAGCAAAAAAAAUGCGAUUGACUUAGGAUCAAUAGGUAUGGUAAUCCAUAUUUGAUAUUAUAAAGGUGGCAGAAUA